rnacentral:tRNA from 1 species
UAGCCUAGUGUUUAAGGCUAUGGAUCGCCAAUCCGAAGACGGCGGGUUCGAUUCCCGU